GAUUUUUAAUUCUUUUUUUAUGGUGCAAAAAUGUGUUCAACCAAAAAGCUUGCCGUCAAAUGGCACGUGGUGAUUUCUGAAGGCCAGUCCUCUGUGGCACCAGACAACUGGAUAAUUGGGGAAACGUGGGAACUUUUGCAUCCACAAAAAAAAACCAGGCUUCUCGAUCUGCCAAGAAGGAAAAAUGUCCAGAUAAAAAGUGGACUGUUCACACCAUUGACCGAAUAUCUAAGGCCUACGUUAGUUGUGUAGAAGUUCUUAAAGCUGAGAUACAGAGCGGGGAUUUCUCCAAGAACGAUGAAGCAUACAAAACAUUGAUGCCAAGGUUAAUCCUUGCAUAACAAGAAAAAUUAAAAAGACUAUUCAGUAGCCGCCUUUGUCUACCAGUUUGGCAACUGCUAAGCAAAAAAGCUCAUUACUCAACACGCCAUGUAAUUACAGAUUAAAAAGAGAUGACUACAGCAAAGAAAUUUUCGUACUCAAAGUUGUAGGUGCUUCUGAAGUUGCAAUGUGCCGUACAAAACUCAAGGAUAGGAAGUCAAAGUAAAGACGUUCGAGGUCAAGAGAGGAUACUCUAGUGUCAAGUCGAAAGUCCAAGGUCAACUAUAUGGAAUCAAAGAGCCGGCGUUCGAAGUCCAGGGAGAGGCGUUCCAGAUCUCGUAGCUCUAGGUCCAUAUUAAUGCGUGUGAAAUCGAAAGAGAGGCCAACGGAAAAGCGCACUAGAACCAAGGCAAGUCGCUCGACAUCGCGGGAGGGGAAUUUAAAAAUCAGGCCGAAUGUCAAAGGACAACUACUACAAAGCAAGUGCCCGACGCUCCAAGUCCAACGAAAGGUCCAGAGAGAGUCAUUCCAGAUCUCGCAGCCCAAGGUCCACCCAAAGACGUUUCAAAACGAAAGAAAGGCCAACGGGAAGGUGUUCUCUAUCGAGGGAAAAUUCGUAUGGAAAACGAGAGGAAAGCAGUUCUCACCUGAAUGGCACAAUCGGUUCCAACGAAAAUGGAAGUUUCUUCAAACUCAAGAAAUACUAUACCAAUAAUGAAACAGGUACUACUCGAUAUAUUGAGGGUAGCAAUUUGUCCUGGAGAUGAAUGAAAUCGCGAAAAAAAACAUAAAACUGACACGGAAUAUAAGUUUUUUAAUUAAGUUUUUAGUCUGCACUUUUUAAAGAAAUUCAU